CCCUUAGAUGUUCUGGGCCGCACGCGUGCUACACUGAGUGGAUCAGCGGGUCAGGUUGCGCGAAAGCGUUUCCUAAUCUUUAAAUCCGCUCGUGAUGGGGAUUGACGGUUGCAAUUUUCUGUCAUGAACGAGGAAUACCUUGUAAGCGCGGGUCAUCAUCCCGCGCUGAAUACGUCCCUGCCCUUUGUACACACCGCCCGUCGCUCCUAUCGAUUGAGUGGUCCGGUGAGGCUUUGGGAUCUGAGCGGAAAGAGCGUUUCGCUGUUUCUGCUCGGAAAACUCAGUCGAACCUUAUCAUUUAGAGGAAGGAGAAGUCGUAACA
rnacentral:rRNA from 1 species